UCUUUUAUAAAGAGGACAAGAGGAAGACUGGCUGGACAGACGUGCUUCUCCUCAGCUCAGCCUAAAAAAGAGAAAUUCCGCUUUUAUCUGUUACAUUCUGGGCAAUGUUGCUCCGAGAAGGGGUUCCGUGCUGAGAAUGGGUAGAUGAGAUGCAGCCUGCCAGCAGCGCCGGUUGGGAGGCACUGGGUGCCACCUCCAAGCCCCGGCCCACACUGUGUCAGCCCCGAGAAUGCCGGUCGCACACCUCCAGGGAAGCGUUCCUUGGGCUUCUCCCGGCAGCCCUCCCACCCCGGCCCUCAGUCCUCUUGAAUCCUGUGUGGACCUCCAGGACAUGUCCAGCCUGCUCUUUGCGGGGGAAACUGCACGGAGACAACUUGUCCUUCCAUCCAGGAGUCCUGCCUGAUCAGCCAGAUGCAGCCGGAAAAUGGGACUCUCAUCAAGAACGGGUCGUGUGUGGCCCCUCUGGAAUGCCGGGAACGCGUCUACACCUUGACCUACAGCCCCAACAAACGCCUCUGAGACGCAGAGCCUGAAGCACAGUUCAGUGGAGCGAAGUGUCACUACUGCUCCGGGAACACGUCAGUCCUGUGUGACUCCCUUUUGGUCAUGAACUGCACUGGGAAGCAGACCGUGUGUCUCACCCUCCACGGGACGUGGCACGGAGAUAAGGGUUCCCUUCAGGAGGUCAUUUGCAUGGCGGGCCUCCUGCCCACCUGCACAGGGGGGUCCCGAAAUCCUGAAGGGAUGUGCUACACCAGAUGUUUGUGACCUGCAAGUGAACACCACCCUUGGUCUGGAAGCAUCUGGAUUUCGUCUCACCACUGCACCUGAAUGCAACUAUGCGGCUCUCCCCACCCAGCCAGGUGCCUUGAAUGCUGACUCCUUGCGGCUGCCCCCCCCAACCUCCCCGCCUUUCCUCGGUCCCGCAUCCCUAUCCCAAUUUUAUGUUUUCUGAGGGUAUCCUCUGCCCCUUGCCAUUAAUGCCCCCAGGAGUGCGAUUAUCUGUAUGCACACACACAAAAACACACACACACCAUCUGACACGCCCAGAAGCAGAAAUUCCCACCGACACAUAUUCACACAUCCACAAACGUCGACAUUUAUAUUCUAGCAUCCAAGACACACCCCCAGAGGAACAUGCAUUUCUAAACAAGAACAUCCUGUUAUGUAAGUAAGAUUAGUGAUCUAAACUCAGUUUAAAUAAGAAAUCUGACAAUUCUUUCCUUUCUUUUCUUCACUUCCUUCCUUGUGAAAGAAGACAGAUUUGCCAACCCUCUUCUUUUGACUUAACAAAGAAUGUUGACAACACAAUUUUUGCCAUCCAGAAAAGAGAGAUGCUAAUUGAGAUAGGAUUUACCAGGGCAACAGCUUUUUAAGUGAGACGACUGAACAGAAUUGCGAAUGUUGCAGAGGUGAGAAAGGCAAUUUUCAAACCCGGACAGAGCAGCGUUCUCUGGCCUCUGGGGACGCACCUCUUUUGUUAGAAACCACACAGCAAGGACAGUUCUGUGAUACAGAAGAGGAUCUGUUCAUUGAAUCUGCAGGCAAAGCAAGAACAUUAUCACUUUGAUUUCCUCAGAUUACCAGCUUCUAGGAGUUUUACUUUGCAAAACUAAGCAGUGGCUUAAAUUAAUGAUCACAAUGAAGAAAAAAAAGGGGGACCCAGGAGCUCAAAAUUUACAAUAUGGAAAGGAAAAAGGGCAAAGUAGGAUUAUUAAUAGCUGGAACAUGGUACGUGGAAUUUUUGCAUAUACUGUCCCUUUUGCAUAUACUGUCCCUAUGGACAUAUAACAUAUCUGGGCAGGGACACAUCAGUUGUCAGAUGCAUACACACAGACUGGGAAAGGGACAGGUACAAACACUCACACACAUACAGAAGUACAAAAUAUACACAGGCAUGCUGAAACAUUUUACUAACAACCACAAAUAUUUACAUCUAUAUCCCAGUGUACACAUUCAAACCAUCCAAACGUUGCUGGAAACACAGAUACAUCAAGAUACAGAAGCACACCCAGACGCAUAAGCCUUAUGCAUAUACACAUAAACACGUGCUCUGCCCGCACAGAGAUGCACAGAGACACCUACUCGCACAGGGGCCCACAGAGGUGCACACACAACAUCCCCCACCCUUCCAGAGACAGUUCCAGAAUGCACAGAGUUCAGCAUAGGCAUGCACAACCAUGUGUGCACGCAGAGAAACAGGCCUGCCUGCUUGUACACACAAACUGCGCCAUCACAGGAGUGUGCACAUGCAGCAAGCACAUUUGCCCAGUCACACGCACACACUGAUGUGCCCUGAGCUGCACGCACACACACAGGUUGUCCUGCAGCCAGCUCCUCUUCCUCUCUCGUCAGGUCCCCAAACCACCAUGACCCACAGCGAGGCUAAGGUCAUCACCUGUUUCACCUGCUCAGACUCCCGCCACUGCGGCUCUCUCCCUUGCCUGGCAGAUAGGAACAGCUGCCUUCAGAUGGCAGGCAUCAUGGGUGAGCGCCCCUGGGGACAGGAUUGGGUAGGAGAGGCAGAAACGGGGCCUGAGGCACACCAGAACCUCUCCUCACCCUCCUGGUCGGCUGCCUUGACGCCAGUCCCGUCAGCCUUUCCCUGGCCAUGGAGGACAGAGCUGGGUGGCAGCGAAGCAUGCAAGCAUAAGAUCUGCUGUCACCUUUGUUAUAGUUAUUUAUUGCUGACUUACAAAUCAGCUCAAGACGUGGUGGCUUAACCAGUCACAGAAGGACAGAUAUGGUAUGAUUCCACUUAUAUGAGGUAUCAGAGGAGUCAAAAUCAUGGAAAAAGAAAGAAGGGUGGUAGUUUCAAUUUUACAAAAAGGAAACAGUCCUAGAGAUCCGUUACACAAUAUGAAUAUAGUUAACACUACUGAACUGUACACUUAAACAUGGUUAAGAGGGUAAAUUUUAUUGUAUGCAUUUUUUAACCACAAUAAAAAAAUGU